rnacentral:rRNA from 1 species
UUCCGGUUGAUCCUGCCGGAGGCGACCGCUUUUGGAGUUCGAUUAAGCCAUGCGAGUAGAAAGAAAUUAGAUUCUUUGCGAACUGCUCAGUAACACGUGGAUAACCUGCCCUAUGCUCUGGGAUAACCUCGGGAAACUGAGAAUAAUACCGGAUAGAUCACAACGCCUGGAACGGUGUGUGGUUGAAAGAUUACGGCAUAGGAUGGGUCUGCGGCGUAUCAGGUUGUAGGGGGUGUAACGGACCUCCUAGCCAUCGACGCGUACGGGUGUUGGGAGACAUAGCCCGGAGAUGGAUUCUGAGACACGAAUCCAGACCCUACGGGGUGCAGCAGGCGCGAAAACUUCACACUGCAGGAAACUGUGAUGAGGGAACUCCAAGUGCGUGCACUUAGUGUGCGCUUUUGUUGACUAUUAAUCGGUCAAUGAAUAAGGGCUGGGAAAGACCGGUGCCAGCCGCCGCGGUAAUACCGGCAGCUCAAGUGGUCGUCGCUUUUAUUGGGCCUAAAACGUCCGUAGCCUGUUUGGUAAAUCUGUGGGUAAAUCAACCAGCUUAACUGGUUGAAUUCUGCAGAGACUGCCAGACUAGGGACCGGGAGAGGUGUGGGGUACUCUAGGGGUAGGGGUAAAAUCCUGUCAUCCUUAGAGGACCACCAGUUGCGAAGGCGCCACACUGGAACGGAUUCGACGGUCAGGGACGAAGCCUAGGGGCACGAACCGGAUUAGAUACCCGGGUAGUCCUAGGUGUAAACGCUGUGAACUUGGUGUCGGGGAUCCGUCAUGGGUCCCCGGUGCCGGAGUGAAGAUGUUAAGUUCACUGCCUGGGGAGUACGGUCGCAAGGCUGAAACUUAAAGGAAUUGGCGGGGGAGCACUGCAACGGGAGGAGCGUGCGGUUUAAUUGGAUCAACGCCGGA